rnacentral:rRNA from 1 species
GAUCCUGGCUCAGGAUGAACGCUAGCUACAGGCUUAACACAUGCAAGUCGAGGGGAAACGGCAUAGAGUGCUUGCACUCUUUGGACGUCGACCGGCGCACGGGUGAGUAACGCGUAUCCAACCUUCCCAUUACUGUGGGAUAACCUGCCGAAAGGCAGACUAAUACCGCAUGGUCUUCGAUGACGGCAUCAGAUUUGAAGUAAAGAUUUAUCGGUAAUGGAUGGGGAUGCGU